rnacentral:rRNA from 1 species
UACGUAGGGUGCGAGCGUUAAUCGGAAUUACUGGGCGUAAGCGUGCGCAGGCGGUUUUGUAAGCCAGAUGUGAAAGCCCCGGGCUUAACCUGGGAAUGGCAUUUGGGACUGCAAGGCUUGAGUGCGGCAGAGGAGACUGGAAUUCCUGGUGUAGCAGUGAAAUGCGUAGAUAUCAGGAGGAAUACCGAUGGCGAAGGCAGGUCUCUGGGCUGACACUGACGCUCAUGCACGAAAGCGUGGGGAGCAAACAGG